rnacentral:lncRNA from 1 species
CUUCAGGAGUGAAGCUGCAGACCUUCGCGUGAUGGAGGUUGAGAAGUCCAACUUCAAGGCACCACAUCUGGUGAGAGCCUUCAUUCCGAUGACAGCCUUCAUGCUGGUAAGAUUUUCUUCAGAGUUCCAAGGUGGUGCACGGCAUCACAUGGCGAAGGAAAUGAGCGUGCUAGCUCAGGUGUCUCUUCCUCUUCUUAUAAAGCCACCAGUCCCACUCCUGUGCUAGUAACUCUUUAAUCCAUCAACCCAUUAAUCCAUGAAUAGAUUAACCCAUGAGGCCUCUGCCCUCAGGACCCAAUCACCUCUUAAAGGCCUGACCUGUCAAUAUUGCCAUACUGGGGACUCAGUUUCAACAUGAGUUUUGAAAGGGACAAACAUUCAAUCCAUAGUAACAUGAGAGCUUUUCAAAGCCCUUCUUUGUUGAAGUAUGUCCUUCUCCAGCCUCUUUUUUCCCAGGCUUUUUGUUUUUUCUAUUGCUUGUGCAGCUGUUAUCCUUUGCUACAGGUGGCAAUAGCUAAUACAUUUGCCUUUAAAUUUGUUUGACAAACACCACCCUGGAAGUAGCCUCAACUCUGGGGAAGCUCCAAGACAGGUAAAAUACAGCAACCUGCAGCAGGAAAAUGGGCUUCAGUUUUCAAGUCUGCAGCUGAGUUGGGAAGUUGCGGACAGUAACCAGUUCUAGAAAAAGCGCUUAGUGUGAAAUUUGUGGGAAAGAUGCUGUUCAGAGUUUAAUUUCAUUAUGUAGUUAACCAAUGAAAAUCCAGCGGAAAAAAAAGAGGAAAGGCCACAUGGGGACAAGAGAGGGCAACUGUCUACAAAUCUGGAAGAGAGACUUCAGAAGAAACCAGCACUGAUGGCAUCUGAUCUUGGACUUCCAGCCUCUGGAUCUAUCUGCCAGAGCCUGAUCUCAUACACACUGAUGUGGUACAGGAAAUGCCACCUGAAAAUAUGGUACCUUGGCAUUUGAGGAAACAGUAGAAGGAGGUCAUAGAAACUAGAAAGAAUUCCUCCUUGCUCUUUGUCCCCCAAAGGAGCCAUAAAACCUGGGCCGAGUUUCUUCUGAAAAUAAGUUAUAAGAUCCUUAUUCCAGAGGGGUCCUGCCCUGUGCCUGGAGGAAAAGAAUGAAGACACAGAGAUGCCUUGAAGAAUCUGAACAAACAGCCCUUGCUAAGUUCCCCCCAGUUUAUUGACAUUAGAUUAGACCUUUUGUCCUCCAAUUAUACUUCUGUGUUCCUGAAAAUACACAUUUUCCCGUUUUUUCUUUUGUUUGCUUUUUUUGAUCUUCAUUUCUGAAGAUUCCCAUGUCAUGUAAAAUAUAUGUUAAACAAAUGUG